GUGUUCAUUUUGGCAGCACAUAUACUAAAAUUGGAACGAUACAGAGGAGAUCAGCAUGGGCCCUGCACAAGGAUGACACAUAAAUUUGUGAAGGAUUCCAUAUUUUU
ensembl:snRNA U6 U6 spliceosomal RNA